UGAUCACACGAUUGUGCCUUCUCCUGAAAAAAAUGCCAUGCACGUAGCACGUCUUUCUCUCACUCACUCACUCAAGCCGGCCAUAGAUUGGAACUGGCCUACCUGGUUAAAUAAAGCUGAAAUAAAAUAAAUGUAAAGAGGUAGCUUAAUCCAGCCAUAACUCUGCUAAUAAUGUAGCUAGAAUGCUAUUAAUAAUUAAUACUAUUAAUGAUGUCAGGCCCGAAAGAGAACUAUAUCUAGAUAUUGAAUUAUAGGGUCGUUCAUGAAAGACAAAGGCAGAAAAAUUAUGGAUAACGGAUGUUUUUCCGAGAUGGCCUCAAGGAUGAGAAACCUUGUUGCCUCAUCCAGUCCAUAAAAGUAAUCUUCGGUCGAAAGUAGUAAAGGGUGUCAAGGACCUGAAUUCAACAGUGUGGAAGAUGCUACAUUGCAUUCUGUCAAACAUGCUUGCCAUCGCCACAACCUGGACUGGUGCAGGGGAUAAGGCCUGUUCGAAAGACUAUGCUUCACAAAAGAACCCUGCAACCCGGGAUGACAUGGACGAUGGGUCCAGAUUCAGGUCACCCUUUACCUGAAAGGGGCGUCCGAUUGAAGGCGGGAGAAGGCGGUGCACAGGGGAGAGGGAUCCGCUGCAGUGAGGAUUCAACAUCAAGUCUCGGACCACCUAUCUCAKAACCAGCCCACUUUAGUCUUACGGACCAAUGCAAUAGUUAUGUCACCUAACUCCACUAUGUAGAUAUACUUUAAUUAUAAUUCUAUGCUGCUACUGCACUGUAGUUAUUCCACUCUAUGCACAAACAAUGUCCAUACUAUAUGCCUAUAGGUCUUUUUUUCUUCUUCUUUUUUGUGUACUUUUACAAUGUCACUUAUUUUAUUCCUUUACUAUGUCACUUUGAAUACUAUGUCACUUUUGUUGCGAUUGCACUGUGUGAUUUGACUGGAUGUAUUUGUUGUCAACUGUUGAUCCAGGGAACAUGGACUGGCACUCUUCAUCUAAUCAUUUACGCACACAUAAUCAUUUACAGUUGUUGUACAUACUUAUUUUUAAAUCACAAAACGUUUUUUAAAUGGACAUGGCAUCCAAUGUCUUAAAUAAUACAAAUAUAUAAAUAUAUU